GUAACGCCAAAUCUACCGGCCGGUUCCCAAAUUCCAAUUAAAAUCGUAGCUUGAAUGAGCAAAUCCAUGAGUGAGAUUCUACAUUGUGCAGAUUGAACGUUCAUACAUGAUAGAGCCAGACAAUCAGCUUUCAGUUGUAAAUCCAGAGAAAUGGCGCUCUAUCUCAGUGCCUCUGAAGUGAGACCAGAUUAUUCUGAGGCAAAACCGCCAAAACUGUGCAUACCUAUAGCCAUUACAGCUGCACUUAGGUUCUUGGGAGAGAAGAAAACUCUAUUAUCACCUUAAGUGGUCGUUGCAUUAGGGAUUCCCUGUUGCAGAUGGGUGCCUACUCAUUUAGGUUUUCAUCUUUUACUGGUAGACGAAUGUGUAAUAUGGUAUCAUUUGAUCCGUUUUAGGUUUGAACUCUUCUUGUGAUACUUAUGGGGAUGGUUGACAUCAAUUCGUUGCCUAUUCAUUCAUUGAAUGUACCUUCUAAAGCUUGAGUGAUUUUUAUGUCUGUGAUCUUUAUUUCUUUUUUCUUAGGUUAGUACAGAACCCUGGUGAAUUUGUUGUAACCUUUCUGAGGGCUAACACAUAGGAUUCAUCCGUGGUAAUCACUAUAGGAAUUCUGGCUGUAGUAGUGCCCUAAUGCUGAGUAUUGAUGCAUUUUUGUAGAACUUCUUGAGGUUCUGAUUUAACAAAUGGAAAAUGCCAACUGUUGAUUUCUUUC